CACUCCAUGUUUCUCUUCAGAUCGUUAAAUCUUUCGCCUUUUACUAAAGUUGUUCGUGGAGAGGAACAAUAUGAGUUCAACUUAAUUUUUUGAUGUCCCUGCCUAGUGCGGGGCU
ensembl:snRNA U5 U5 spliceosomal RNA